GCAAAAGCUCAAAUUUGAAAUCCUUCGGGAGUUGUAAUUUGUAGGUUGGGAGACCCCGCGGCUAGUGGCACCAAGUCCCUUGGAACAGGGCGCCUUAGAGGGUGAGAGCCCCGUAGGUACCACAACACCGUCUUGUGUCUCCUCUCCAAAGAGUCGAGUUGUUUGGGAAUGCAGCUCAAAGUGGGUGGUAAAUUCCAUCUAAAGCUAAAUACCGGCGAGAGACCGAUAGCGAACAAGUACAGUGAUGGAAAGAUGAAAAGCACUUUGAAAAGAGAGUGAAACAGUACGUGAAAUUGUUGAAAGGGAAGGGCUUGCAAGCAGACACGGCCUUCGUGCCGGGCCAGCAUCGGUUGCUAGGGGUGGAUAAGGAACAAGGAAUGUAGCUCCUCGGAGUAUUAUAGCCUUGCGCGAUACACCCACUGGCGACCGAGGCCUGCGGUAUUCUUUACCUAGGAUGCUGGCGUAAUGGUUGCAAGCCGCCCGUCUUGAAACACGGACCA
rnacentral:rRNA from 1 species